rnacentral:rRNA from 1 species
GUGGGGAAUAUUGGACAAUGGGCGAAAGCCUGAUCCAGCCAUGCCACGUGUGUGAAGAAGGUCUUCGGAUUGUAAAGCACUUUAAGUUGGGAGGAAGGGCAGUAAGCUAAUACCUUGCUGUUUUGACGUUACCGACAGAAUAAGCACCGGCUAACUUCGUGCCAGCAGCCGCGGUAAUACGAAGGGUGCAAGCGUUAAUCGGAAUUACUGGGCGUAAAGCGCGCGUAGGUGGUUUUGUAAGUUGGAGGUGAAAUCCCCGGGCUCAACCUGGGAACUGCCUCCAAAACUGCAUGACUAGAGUACGGUAGAGGGUAGUGGAAUUUCCUGUGUAGCGGUGAAAUGCGUAGAUAUAGGAAGGAACACCAGUGGCGAAGGCGACUACCUGGACUGAUACUGACACUGAGGUGCGAAAGCGUGGGGAGCAAACAGGAUUAGAAACCCGAGUAGUCC